GAGCAAGGUACGUUUUAUUACUCUGUUUUCUGGGAAUAAUUGACGCAAGCAGAAACCAGAAAACAAGCCAGCCCUGCAUUGCGCAUCUGUUGACCUUUAUCCAUUUACAGUAAACAAAUAUUUUUUUCUUGCUGGAAGAUAUUUUAUAUUGUUUUCAUAUUAUUAUUUACUGACAGUGAUUACAGAAUGCGAGUGUGUGUUAUAUUGAAAGCGAGGCUGGGUGUGCCUAUGAAUAUAGGCUACAGUGAGUUUUUUAAGGUGCUGUACAAGCAAAUCAUAUUGACUACUCUGUACAGUGACAAAGAGUGUACAGUAACCUACUUCAUUCAAUAUUGAAUAGGCUACUGUAGCCUACACGAUGUACAGAUGGUUUUGCUCUUUGCUCAUGGCAGUUGUGGCAGUCAUUUUAACAUGUCAGCAGGCAAGCUUCACUCAUUCAAGGAUGUAUAAUGCUUUGUCCUAUAGCCUACUUGGAACGUGUUUUGAAAUGGAUCUAUAGUAGCCUAUAGAAAUUUGCCAGCUGGAAUACAAAGCAAACUCUCCUUCAAAUGCACAUUCAUGGAAGUCUUGUAUUGUCACCCCCAAAUAAUGCUGCAAUGUAAUAAUAUACAUCUUUAAAUGCACAAUAAUGAAUCAUUACCUUUAUUAUGACUUAUCCAAGAUUUGUAUUGGCUCCCAGAAUGCAGGUCUGUUAGUGACUC